rnacentral:lncRNA from 1 species
UUUUGCUUUAAAAGGCCGGUGCUUGCCGGCAAUAAACGCCGCCUUGAUCAGACUCUUGUCUUGGCGUCCUUCCUUUCUCUCUGCCCCAUCUCCACCCCGCUGCUCUUUCAGGUUUGAGACACUGCUGGACAGUGCUCUGCGUCGCCGGCUCGCGACAGACAAAGACUAAGGUGCUUGCAACAGGCAUGACGUGGUACACCAGAGGCUGGAAGAACAUCAGAUUCCACCCACCCACAAUGUACUGUGUUUCCUCCACCCUCAGCACACAGAUCUACUACCAGCUGACCUAGUCACCUUCAACAGACCUGCUGGGAAUAAUGCUCACUAGAUGCAGUGAGAGACUGAGAUUUGCACACAUCCAAUAAAUUACAGAACCCUAUUUCAAGGCGAGGCCUCUCCGAGUCUGAAGGCUCAACUUAGUCUGAAGAUAUUUCUAGACAAGAACACACAGAAGGA